rnacentral:tRNA from 1 species
UUAAUGAAGCAUAUUUCGGAAGUGCAAAAGAU